GCAUUAAUGGGGUAGUGGUAACCUGGGUCGUUGCCAUUGGGUGAUGGAUCUUCAUGUCUCUCGACCCGCCGGGGGUUCGAUUCCCUCUUAAUGCA